rnacentral:rRNA from 1 species
CGGAGGGUGCAAGCGUUAAUCGGAAUCACUGGGCGUAAAGCGCACGUAGGCGGCUUGGUAAGUCAGGGGUGAAAUCCCACAGCCCAACUGUGGAACUGCCUUUGAUACUGCCAGGCUUGAGUACCGGAGAGGGUGGCGGAAUUCCAGGUGUAGGAGUGAAAUCCGUAGAUAUCUGGAGGAACACCGGUGGCGAAGGCGGCCACCUGGACGGUAACUGACGCUGAGGUGCGAAAGCGUGGGUAGCAAACAGGAUU